rnacentral:rRNA from 1 species
GAUGAACGCUGGCGGCGUGCCUAAUACAUGCAAGUCGAGCGAACAGACGAGGAGCUUGCUCCUCUGACGUUAGCGGCGGACGGGUGAGUAACACGUGGAUAACCUACCUAUAAGACUGGGAUAACUUCGGGAAACCGGAGCUAAUACCGGAUAAUAUAUUGAACCGCAUGGUUCAAUAGUGAAAUACGGUUUUGCUGUCACUUAUAGAUGGAUCCGCGCCGCAUUAGCUAGUUGGUAAGGUAACGGCUUACCAAGGCAACGAUGCGUAGCCGACGUGAGAGGGUGAUAGGCCACCCUGGAACUGAGACACGGUCCAGACUCCUACGGGAGGCAGCAGUAGGGAAUCUUCCGCAAUGGGCGAAAGCCUGACGGAGCAACGCCGCGUGAGUGAUGAAGGUCUUCGGAUCGUAAAACUCUGUUAUUAGGGAAGAACAAAUGUGUAAGUAACUAUGCACGUCUUGACGGUACCUAAUAAGAAAGCCACGGCUAACUACGUG